rnacentral:rRNA from 1 species
ACUCCUACGGGAGGCAGCAGUAGGGAAUAUUGGUCAAUGGGUGAGAGCCUGAACCAGCCAUGCCGCGUGCAGGAAGACGGCCUUCUGGGUUGUAAACUGCUUUUACCAGGGAUAAAACGACUCUGCGGAGUUAAUUGAAGGUACCUGGAGAAUAAGCACCGGCUAACUACGUGCCAGCAGCCGCGGUAAUACGUAGGGUGCAAGCGUUGUCCGGAUUUAUUGGGUUUAAAGGGUGCGUAGGCGGGCUAUUAAAGUCAGUGGUGAAAUCCAGCAGCUUAACUGUUGAUGUGCCAUUGAUACUGGUAGUCUUGAGUACAGAUGAGGUAGGCGGAAUUGACAGUGUAGCGGUGAAAUGCAUAGAUAUUGUCAAGAACUCCGAUAGCGAAGGCAGCUUACUGGGCUGUAACUGACGCUGAUGCACGAAAGUGUGGGGAUCAAACAGGAUUAGAUACCCU